CCUACGGGCGGCAGCAGUGAGGAAUAUUGGUCAAUGGGCGAGAGCCUGAACCAGCCAAGUCGCGUGAAUGAUGAAGGUUCUAUGGAUCGUAAACCUCUUUUAUAAGGGAAUAAAGUGUGGGACGUGUCCUGUUUUGUAUGUACCUUAUGAAUAAGGAUCGGCUAACUCCGUGCCAGCAGCCGCGGUAAUACGGAGGAUCCGAGCGUUAUCCGGAUUUAUUGGGUUUAAAGGGUGCGGAGGCGGCCUUUUAAGUCAGGGGUUAAAGUUUGUGGCUAAAACAUAGAAUUGCCGUUGAAACUGGUAGGCUUGAGUAUGUUCGAGGCAGGCGGAAUGCGUGGUGUAGCGGUGAAAUGCUUAGAUAUCACGCAGAACCCCGAUUGCGAAGGCAGCCUGCCAAGCCAUGACUGACGCUGAUGCACGAAAGCGUGGGGAUCAAACAGGAUUAGAUACCCCUGUAGUC
rnacentral:rRNA from 1 species